AUUGAACGCUGGCGGCAGGCUUAACACAUGUAAGUCGAGCGGAGAUGAGGUGCUUGCACCUUAUCUUAGCGGCGGACGGGUGAGUAAUGCUUCGGAAUCUGCCUAUUAGUGGGGGACAACAUUCCGAAAGGAAUGCUAAUACCGCAUACGUCCUACGGGAGAAAGCAGGGGAUCUUCGGACCUUGCGCUAAUAGAUGAGCCUAAGUCGGAUUAGCUAGUUGGUGGGGUAAAGGCCUACCAAGGCGACGAUCUGUAGCGGGUCUGAGAGGAUGAUCCGCCACACUGGGACUGAGACACGGCCCAGACUCCUACGGGAGGCAGCAGCGGGGAAUAUUGGACAAUGGGGGAAACCCUGAUCCAGCCAUACCGCGUGUGUGAAGAAGGCCUUAUGGUUGUAAAGCACUUUAAGCGAGGAGGAGGCUACUGAGACUAAUACUCUUGGAUAGUGGACGUUACUCGCAGAAUAAGCACCGGCUAACUCUGUGCCAGCCGCCGCCGUAA
rnacentral:rRNA from 1 species